CAAAGGCCUGGUCCCGACUUUACUAUCGGUUUUAGUUCAAUUUAUACAUGCAAGUAUCCGCACCCCCGUGAGAAUGCCCUUAAUCCCCCAACCGGGGACGAGGAGCUGGCAUCAGGCACGCUAGUGCAGCCCAAGACGCCUUGCUACGCCACACCCCCAAGGGAACUCAGCAGUAAUAAACAUUAAGCCAUAAGUGAAAACUUGACUUAGUUAGGACUAAGAGGGUCGGUAAAACUCGUGCCAGCCACCGCGGUUAUACGAGAGACCCUAAUUGAUAGCUACGGCGUAAAGAGUGGUUUAGGAUAAAAAACAAAUAAAGCCAAAGAUCCUCCUAGCUGUAGCACGCUCUCCGAGGACACGAAGCCCUACCACGAAGGUAGCUUUACUAAUAUUCUCCUGACCCCACGAAAGCUAAGAAACAAACUGGGAUUAGAUACCCCACUAUG
rnacentral:rRNA from 1 species